UGGUUAAAAAGCUCGUAGUUGGAUCUCGGCGGUCUGAGGGCGGUUCGCUUGAUUGAGUGCUACUGCUCUGUAGGCCGUGGUUUUGCCAGAGGUCUCGGGGUGCUCUUAACCGAGCGUCCUGCGAUGCUGGCAGGUUUACUUUGAAAAAAUUAGAGUGCUCAAAGCAGGCUUUUACGCCUGAAUAUUCGUGCAUGGAAUAAUAGAAUAGGAAGUCGUUUCUAUUUUGUUGGUUUUCGGAAAUCGACUUAAUGAUUAAUAGGGACAGUCGGGGGCAUUUGUAUUCAAACGACAGAGGUGAAAUUCUUGGACCGUUUGAAGACAAACUACUGCGAAAGCAUUUGCCAAGAAUGUUUUCAUUAAUCAAGAACGAAAGUUAGAGGUUCGAAGGCGAUUAGAUACCGCCCUAGUUCUAACCAUAAACGAUGCCAGCUAGCGAUCUGCCGACGUUUUCUUUGUAGACUCGGCAGGAAGCUUCCGGGAAACCAAAGCAUUUGGGUUCCAGGGGAAGUAUGGUUGCAAAGCUGAAACUUAAAGGAAUUGACGGAAGGGCACCACCAAGAGUGGAGCCUGUGGCUUAAUUUGACUCAACACGGGAAAUCUCACCAGGCCCGGACACUGGAAGGAUUGACAGA
rnacentral:rRNA from 1 species